UAAGGGCGGUUGCGAGGAGGCUUCUCUGGGCGGCUGCGCAGCCUCUCGGGGAGGACGGGGGAAGCGGCGCGAGCGGCGCGGCGGCGCCUGCGCAGUGAGGACGCGGAGAUCUCUCGCGAGGAAGGACGCCAUUAUCGCAGCCGCUCGACAAACACCACGAGAAUUCGCCACCACACACGGGUUAUACGAAUUGGCAGACCUUAGAGUGUGAAUUUGGGGCCUUCCGUGGUAUUUGAGCGAAUAUUGUUGCCUGAUUCUGAAUGAUGACAGAACAGGAUUUGGCAGAUGUGGUUCAAAUUGCAGUGGAAGACUUGAACCCAGAUCAUCCAGUUGUAUUGGAGAAUCAUGAGGUGACAGAUGAAGAUGUGGAGCCUGCUCUGAAACGCCAACGGAUAGAAAUUAACUGCCAGGAUCCCUCUAUUAAGUCGUUCCUAUAUUCCAUUAACCAGACAAUAUGCCUACGACUGGAUAGCAUUGAGGCAAAGCUGCUGGCACUAGAGGCUACCUGCAAAUCAUUGGAAGAGAAAUUGGACCUCGUCAUGAACAAACAGCAUAGCCCUAUCCAAGUCCCCAUGGUGGCGGGUUCUCCCCUUGGUGCUACACAGACGUGCAAUAAAGUGCGAUGUGUUGUCCCACAGACUACAGUUAUACUGAACAAUGAUCGGCAGAAUUCAAUAGUAGCCAAGAUGGUUGGGCAGGAAGAGCCAUUGAGCAGAACAGCGGAUUCUCUGGAAAAUAUCCUUAGCAAUGCUGUUCCGGGUCGUAGACAGAACACCAUUGUGGUGAAGGUGCCAGGGCACGACGACAGCCACAAUGAAGAUGGAGAGAGUGGGUCUGAGGCCAGUGACUCGGUUUCCAACAGUGGCCAGUUAGGAAGCCAAAGUAUUGGGAACAAUGUUACUCUUAUUACACUGAACUCUGAAGAGGAUUACCCCAAUGGGACAUGGCUUGGAGAUGAAAACAAUCCUGAGAUGCGAGUCCGUUGCCCCAUCACCCCAGCUGACAUGCUGCAUAUCAGCACCAACUGCCGCACAGCUGAGAAGAUGGCACUGACGUUGCUAGAUUACCUCUUCCACCGGGAAAUUCAGGCCAUCUCCAAUCUUUCAGGGCAAGGGAAGCAUGGGAAGAAGCAGCUUGAUCCACUCAUGAUUUAUGGUAUUCGCUGUCACCUUUUCUAUAAAUUUGGAAUUACAGAAUCUGACUGGUACCGGAUCAAGCAGAGCAUAGACUCCAAAUGCCGGACAGCUUGGCGGCGAAAACAGCGAGGCCAGAGUCUUGCGGUGAAAAGUUUUUCCAGGAGAACGCCUUCCUCUUCAUCUUAUAGUGGCUCAGCCACAAAUCAGUUUCCCAUGAUGCAUACAGAAGACAAGAAUGUUCGAGAGGGUACUCAAAGCACAGUGUCAGCAUCUAAUGAAAUCCAGCCGAACCAGCCACAGGCCCUGCACUAUGCACUGGCUAAUGCUCAGCAGGUUCAAAUCCAUCAAAUAGGAGAAGAUGGCCAAGUCCAAGUAAUCCCACAGGGUCACCUCCACAUAGCCCAGGUGCCUCAAGGGGAGCAGGUCCAAAUCACACAGGACAGCGAGGGUAAUCUGCAGAUACAUCAGGUUCAUGUCGGUCAAGAUGGGCAGGUGUUACACGGUGCUCAGUUGAUAGCUGUUGCCUCUGCAGAUCCUGCAUCUGGGGGCGUAGAUGGAUCCCCACUCCAAGGGAGUGAUAUCCAGGUCCAAUAUGUCCAGCUGGCACCAGUGACAGACCACGCUGCUACUAAUCAAAGCACAGAUUCCCUUCAAUCAACUAUCCAGCCAGAAAUGCAGAUAGAACAUGGAGCAAUCCAGAUCCAGUAAAGCAGGAACUGUGGAAGCUUCAUAGAUCCAGAUGCCAGUGACCACAGUCAGAAGCUAAAGGCUGCUGCCCAUGUACAACACCAGGAGAAAGGAUGUGACCAUCAGACUAACAGACAUUUUCAUUUACAUCUCCUAUACUACAGUUAUCCAGUACACUGGAAAAACCCCAGAACCUCAUCUAGUUUUCAGGCCCUCCGGAUUUGUGGCUUGGCGGCUCUCGCUUCCUGAGGACUUCACAGCUUGUCUCGAGACCCUGUGAGGGGUAUGGAUCCAUCCUGGAGGGCUCAGGUGGCCUAUUGAUUCCAAGCACCGAUUCCAUCCUGAAUGAAGUCCUCUCCAGAAGUCCUGAACCAGAACUUGCUUUCUGCAUCAGGUGUUGGACAUGGGUUGGUCUUGUCUGCACCAGUGGCUAAGCCUGACUGUAUUCUACCAUGUUUGGAGGAAGCAAGUAGCUUUGUUUGGCAUCACAUUGCAACUACUGACAUGGCCUUAGAAGUGGAACAUGCAAGGCAGAGCGGUAUGACUUGACUUUUGGGAAGAAACAGAGGGAAGCUCAGAAUGGAUGGAAUUCAAUGGUGACAAGUGCUAAGUAAUCCCUCCUCAGAGGAAAUAAUUGAAUUGCUCCUACACUUCUCUGUGUUCUAAAUGUACUGGAUCAACUCAGGAGUAAGCCCUAGAUUUCUUUUUGUGGACUGCUCAGUGAAGAUCUCAGCUCAGUGGACAGCAAUGGUAGCAGAGAAAAAAGAAAUGGGGAACGAAGAGACAGAGAGAUUAAGUGACUGUCCCAUGGUCACACAAGGAGUCUGUGGCAGAACCAGGAACUGAAUCCAGAUCUUCUCAGUCCCAUUCCAGUGUCUGAAGUGGGUUCUAUUUCAGUUGUCCAAGACAAGUCUGAUUCUUAGAAUUCCGGGCUGGCUCUGAAUUCUCCUGAAGUCUGGUAAGAUGUUUGUGCUUCCAAGAGUUUGGAAAGAUCAAAGCUAAUUGUUACCAAAAAUGUAACCAGGUUUGACCAAAGCAGUGGCACACUUCAAGAAGGGUAGCUUUUAGAGGCUGACCUCGUUCAAUCUCAGUGACAUUCAUCUUUUGCCUCCCAAUGCAGCUGAACCAUGUGGGUGUCCCGCUCACUUUACACCUUGUUUUUCUUUAAUCCUAGACUCAUGGAAAUGUAGGACUGGAAAGGACAUUGAGAGGUCAUCUAGCCCAGCCCCCUGCCCUGAAGCAGGACCAAGUAAACCUAGACCAUUCCUGACAGGUGUUUGUCCAACCUGUUCUUAAAAAACUCCAGUGAUGGGGAUUCCACAACCUCCCUUGGAAGCCUGUUCCAUCAUGGCUAGCCCUGUCUCGAGCAUUGCCGAUGGCUGCUCCAUCUCACUAUAGGACAACCAUUCACUGCUAUUGUUGUUUUUCCAGUAUAGUUGAUUGUAGAAAUGACCGACAAUUUCAUGGUGACUUACAUGGGAGAUCACUCUCGGAGAGCUGUAGGGCAGAGGAGAGGAAUAAAGAAUAGCUGAGCCUUCCUUGGGGAAAAUGUCAGAAAUUUCUAAGCCAUCCUGUACAUUGCAUCCACUGGAGUUCUCUUCCUCAUGCCUUGUUACAAAGGACAUUUUCAUGAACAAAGUGUGUCUUGUUUUGCCCUUUGCGUACCGUACAGCCACCGCUAAUGGCAAUGGGGAAUUAUUGGAUAUAAAUCAGGGCUGAAUUUCACUCAGGGCCAUUGUUUCUUUGGCGUUUCUGCUUAUUCCCUACCUGAAGUCAUAAUCCUCGUCUGUCAGGUUGUCGUCAUGUCCUCAGUAAUGUAAUAUUUUGAUUGUUUUGUGUUGAAAUGACUGCGUUGAAAUGUUUUGAUGUAGUAUUCUAGUCUACAUUAUAAUCCAAUACAAAAU